CUCUCUCAUCUUUUGCCUUCAUCAGAGCUCCCGUGGAUCACUCUGACCACUCUUACCGUUGUUCACUCCGGCUGCGACAUCACUUCGGCUGCUCGACAUCCUGUUCGGAAUUCUGAUUGAAGCCUAAUGGAUAAGCCGACUGAUCCUCCAAAACGCCCGAUCACUCCAUUCAUUUUCUUUUGCCAAGAACAAUCAAUGGAGUUAAAAAAAACCCAAAUGAAAGUAGACGUGAAGGAUAUUGGGGACAAAUGGAAUCAACUUCCUCAAGAAGAAAAAAAUAAGUAUAUACAAAUGGGAAAGCUGCAAUCUGAACAAUAUGCCCAAUUAAAAACUGUGGUCCAAUAAAAGCCUCCAAAAGUAAAAAUUCAAACCCGAAUUGAGCUUACAUCAAUUUGUAAGAUUAUUAGAAGGUUGGACAAAGCACAACAACAAGCAGUGAGUGAUAUGGGGUUUCAUGGCAUCCUAAGCCUUAGGUGCACGCACAUAGAUCAUGACUUGUGUCAUUGGUUAGUUCAGAACUUUGAUCCUUCAACUCAUUCAUUGAAUGUCCACGGUCUUCGAAUGCUU